rnacentral:lncRNA from 1 species
AGCCUAAAGUUGAUCCUGUGGGCAGAGAUCCAUCAGGCAGAGGCAAUGAAAUUCCUGCUUUUCCAGUAUUUUUCUCACUUCCAUGGAAUUAAAAAGAAAAAGACAAAACUGUUGAGUGAACAAAAGCUUGUUUUUCCCUAAAGGUGGAUCUCAUCAGGGUGAUGUCACGUACUCGCUUCAUCCUCCAGCUCUGGGAAACAAACCUGGUAAAGCCUCAGAGAUAUUUGAGGAUAUAAUGAAAUAUUCACGUGUGUCUCCUGCAGCGCCGCGAGCCAACACGUGUGUUUACUCUGUGAUCAAACUGCACCGACAGGAACCCUGAAGGUGAGUCUCUGCAUGUUUCCGUGCAUUAGUCCGAGUCGUUGAUGUUUUAAAGUGAUUCCACUCUGCAGGACUUUCACCUGAUGAUAACGUCACAGAGUCACAGGUGUUUUCUAACCUUCAUCAUGUGACUUUUCUCUAAUUGCAGGAAAUCCUGAGGAUCAAACCUUCCACGCCUCCUGCUGCGAGCUUCUGCUCACGUUUCACUUUAACUUUCAAAAUUAUUUUGAUUCUUGGAAAUCAGUCAAAUCAAAUUAAUAUUCAUUGUGCUGGUUAAUAAAACAUAACAAUGAUGUCAUCGUGUUUACCUUUUGUUUGACUUUCACACAAACAUUCAGAGGAACAAAGAAAUAUCCAAUUAAAAUCUCAGCUAGUCCUUCAAAUCUUCUUCAUCUGAGAGCUUCCAGCUCCUCAUCAGAUCCAUGUGACACAGCAGACCUGCAGCGGGAGCACGCCUCUUUAUUUUCCAGGCCGCUGACACUCCCUGAGUCACUGAGGAUGAGGAAGGAGAGGAAGAGCGGUGCAGGGACAGACGGGCUCGAGGCACAUCGACAGCUCUGCAGCUCCACGUUUGUUCCUGAACAUGUUCACUCUGCUGGUCUCCUGUCACGUUUGGUUCCUGCUCUCAGGUCUGAUCGGCUGCACGGAAAACUCCACAGCGAUCUGGUUUUCAGUCCCUGAGAAUCACCACGUCUGUCUGCCCUGCGGCAGCUCUGGCAGCUCCGACGUGAUCUGGACUCUGCAGGAUCAGGAGGUCCUGGUGACCCGACGAGGCAGCUACAAGACCAACAAGGACCGCCAGCGCUACCUCCUCAUGGUUAAUGGCAGCCUCUGCAUCCUGCAUCUGGAGGAGUCGGAUCAUGGAGGAUACCGCUGUAACCAGCAGCUGGUGGCUGAGCUGCAGGUGCUGACAGGUCUAUGAGCUCAACACCUCCAGCAUGAGUGCAGCUGCAGAGG